UACAAUAGAAUGUUGGUAAGGGAAAGAGUAGGAACCACUGUGAAUAAAAAAAAAAGCACUAGUUCACAUUUAUCAUGUAUUACAAUGUGCUGGGCCUGUACCAAGCACUGUUAUAAUCAUCUCACUUAAUUUUCUAACAGCCCCAUAUUAUUAUUUUCUGGUGCUAUUAUUUUCCCCAUUUGAUAGCUAAGCAGUCUGAGGCUCGGAGAGGUUAAGUCACUUAUCUGAAGUAACAACGCUUGUAAAUAGAGGUAGGACUCUAAUUCAGAAAUGUGUGAUUCCAUAAUUGAUGCUCUUAACUCUCUUAGAUCUAGAACACCAGCAUUCCUGUCCACCCUCCAUCCAUCUCUAUGAUUAAAAAAAAAAAAAAGUUAAAACCCAAUAAAUGGCUUCUAAUGACUCCUUCAUUUUUUACAUUUCUCCAGGAUGGAAUUAUACUUUUGCAGAAGGAAAAAUAAAGUUCUUAUUUAAGUUCUCUUCCUUCAGGGAUGGUAUCAUCUCCCUCCCAGAAGUCUUGGCAGUUGUACAUUCUUUUCCAGGGGGUAAGAAAACUGGUAGCAGUCAGUUGUCAUGUCUGCGUCUCCUGUUGUACUCUGAGGUAGGGCAGGCUCUUUUUAUGCAUGAGAACACUGUGAGGCUCAGAGACUUUACAUACAUUGACCAAGUCACACAGGAUUAUGGGACUGGGCAGCUCUGACGCUCAAGUCUCCUGAUGCCCAGUUUGGGGGCUUUGGUCUUGGCACUUCUCUCUUAACUGAUCUCCAGACUUGUUUCUGUCUAAACCCAGCUUGACAAUUAAGCAGCACUUGUUCUUAAAGGCCAAUGGUUACUGUGGGUAUUUUCCAAACAGUCGUACUUGCCGAUCUGCCCUCCUCGCCUGGCAUAAAUUCCCAGAGAGUAAGCAGAGAUCUGACAUGCUUUUGGUCUUCGACAUGCGCUCUUGGUCACCUGCGUGUCUUCCCUGAAAGGGCUGUUUUCUGUCUAGUUUUCCGUUCUCACAGAGGGCGUGUAAAACGCCUGGAUGCCCGACCUCGUGCGUCACUGUGUCCCUAGGGGAGCUGUAGCAGAAACGGGGGCGGGGCGGGGGGAGGGGGCGGGGCUGGUGUGGGUAGCGGGGAGGGGGCGAUCUUACCCAACAGUAAAGGCAGAGACGAGGCCCCAGAGGAGGCCGUGCUUUGUCCCGGCUCAGCAGGGCCGCAACCUGAACAGGCGCCGGCCUCGCUCGUGCCCUGACGCCCCUGGGGCGAAACUGGAGGCCCUGGGCGCGCCAGCUGACCAGAUGGCCUGAGCUGCAAACCCCAGAGACCCGGGCGGGUUCUGGCAGCCCCCAGACCCGGGCCUGGGUCUCGCCGCCACAAGGCUCAGCUCAGCCCGAGCGCCCCCAUUAGGAGGUGCGGCCCACGGAGGUGGCGUGACUGGGCCGGCCGGAUAGCCCCACCCGGAGCCCAGAGGCGCGGCGCCCGCGGACCACGCGGGGCGGGCGGGACGGGGGUCGUCUGCUGGCGUGCCCGCGGGCUUUCACCCGCAAAGCAGCCGUCCGAGGUUCCGGUCUCCGCCUGGGGUCGCCUGAGCACUGCGUCUACCAGGGCUCCUCCGGAGGGCGUGGGGGAAGGGGGAAAAAGCAGCUGCGCCACGGCUGCUUGCGGCCUGUGCCCAAGGCGGGGUCGGUUUCUAGGCAACGAGGCCCUUGCACGGGUCGCGCCCUCCCUCUUCUGGGUCGGUCUCCCCUCCCCCAUUGAAGCUCUGCAGAGUCAGAGCCCCGGGACCCAAGGCGGAGCCCAGGUGUGGCCGGGGGGGCUGGGGGAGUGGAGCCCGACGGGCGUGGGAGUGGGUGACCCCAGGGCUGCCCAGCUGCUGGCCGGAGUUUCUCCGACUUCGGUGGGGCUGCGCUAGGGCCUGGGGACCCGGACGGCCCGAGGCGGGGGCGACAAGUCUGUUUCCUCCCGGUCUCCGCCUGCGCCGGCUGAAACGAGUCUUUCCGGUGGGGCUGCCCAGCCGGGUCCGCCCCGCCCGGCCUCCCGGAACCCGCUCGGAGAAGUGCACGACCCCGCCCGGGCCGAGGGCGCGAGCAGGAGAGUGGGUGGAGCGGCUGGAGAGGCGAGAGCCCGGGUCCUGGGUUCUAGCGAGCUCUGGAGCCCCUCUUUCCGAUCCGGUGGCUCCCCAAGGGCACCCUGACCGAAGGUUUAUGUUGAACCUUCCUGGGUGAUUCUGCGAAUCAAGGCUGCGAAUAAAGUAACUUUAUUACUUUACAACUGGGGAAACUGAGGCACACACUGUGCCAAGGCCUUACCGUAAGUUAGCCAACCACAAGGAAGCCAAGGGAAAGCCUACAAGGAGAGACCCCACGAAGACCAGGAUUUUUCCCAGGGCCUGAAUCCUGAGGGGUUGGAGUAGAAGAGCCGGGCUAGGGACGCAGGAAGGUCUGGGCACGCUGCCCUGACAGGUUCGCAGGAUCACCGCGGCGGUCCCCAGCCUCACAAAAUUAAUGAGCAAGAGGCCUUUCUCUCCUCGGUCGAGAAGUAGAGAUUCCGUUUAACCUCUGCAGACAGUAAGACAGCGACCACUCUCCCUCCCAGCCUGGCGCCAGCAUGAACCCGAGGGCAUGUCAGCAGGAGCCAGGAACUGGAGGCGAAGCAUCCUUCAUUUCCUCUGCGGCAGUGGAACGAGUGAGGUCUCUGAUUGCCAGAGUCUUGUUUUUUUCAAAAUCGCAGCAUGCUGAGACCGAAAGCGGGGUACCCUGGAGGAUUCUUUUAUAUGCUCAACCUUGAGUCAGACUUGCAAUCAGCAUUUGAUCAAGGAACUUGGUAUUCUCAAACUUGGGAACCAGCCUUGUAGCCUGACAAAAUUACCUGGGAUGGAGCUCAGGACGACUGGCCCUUGUCUUGCUCUGUGACUGUACAUGUCACUUCUCACUUGUCCAUUCAACAAAAACUCUGGAGAACCUCCUGUCUGCUUGGGCUUCUAAAUCAUGGCGCUGACACUUUAAAUUAGAAAAUAACAAAGAAGAAAUCUGCCAAAUAGAAGCAUGGAAGGCUUUGCAAAAGAAUUGACAUUUGAUAUGGAUUCUGACAGAUGAAAAGGAGUUCCCUGGGUGGCAUCAGUUCAUCUUCUAUAAGCUUCCAGGAGCAGCCAGCCCAGGAGCACAGCGGGGCUAUCAGCAAAGCAGGGAUGCUGAUCCAAGUUCAAAUCCCAGUCUUCCCAGGGCCACACUGGGAGCUUUGGAGAAAAUUGCAGAACUUGGAGUUGGCAUCUGUCAACGUAAUGGGAUGAAACAAAGUGGCAGUCAUGGGUCACCUUGUGUAUGGCUUGCACACAGUAGGCCCUCAGCUGGUGAAGGCUUCUGCAGGUGGGGCCCAUGGAGCCCCAGGCUUUGGGCUGAGGCAGGCCCAGGACUAGCCCAUUAGAGGCUGCUGAGCUCCACAUGGAAACCCCAGCUGGCUGUGGGGCCCAAGGUGUAGUAUGCGCCAGAGUCCCCUGACUUGAAGUGGCUUCUGGUCAGUGCCAGUGCAUGUCCCCACCAGAUUCAGGGCCAGUGGCCCCCAGUGCCAUGAGAAUACUGUGAAAGCUUCCCAGAACAUAUGCUAUUUGAUCCCCUUUAAAGGAAUACAUCAGAGCCCUACAGGUUGGCCCAAAGCUGCUGUGUCCCCGUAGCAAGUGGAUAAGUAGCUUGAAAUUCCCUGUGUCCCAAGCACCUGCUGUGUGCUCAAUCAGGAGAGCAAGUGAUAAGCCAAAAAGACAAGCUGCUCAAAUGGGCAAAGAAUAUGAGUAGGUAUGAAUAGAUAUAUGAAUAUGAAUAGGUUCACAAAAGAGGCAUGGAAAACGGCUCAGAAAUUGAUUUUUAAAAAGAAUGCUCAAUCCUGCCAAACCUUAAGGGAGAUGCAACUUAAAUGAAGUAGUAUUUAUAUAUAUAUAUAUACUGGAAUAAUACUCAGCCAGAAAAAGAGAAUGAAAUAGGGUUUCCCUGGUGGCUCAGUGGUAAAGAAUCUGUCUGCCAAUGCAGGAGACAUGGGUUUGAUCCCUAAUCUGGGAAGAUCCCACAUGCCAAGAAGCAACCAAGCCGCAUGAGCCAUAGCUAUUGAAUCUGUGCUCUAGAGCCUGAGAGCCACAACUACUGAACCCGUGUACCUCAACUACUAAAGCCCAUGCACCCCAGAGCCCACAGUCAGCAACAGGAGAAGCCACUGCAAUGAGAAGCCUGCAAACCACCACUACAGAAAAGCCCUCAUAGCAGCGAAGACCCGGCACAGCCAGAAGUGAAUAAAUAGAAUUAUUUUUUAAAUAAAAGGAAGUAACACUCUCUGCAGCAACGUGGAUGGACCUAGAGAUUAUCAUAGUAAGUGAAGUAAGCUAGACAGAGA